ACCUGGGUGACUCAGUUGGUUGAGUGUCUGACUUCAGCUCAGGUCAUGAUCUUGUGGUUUGUGAGUUCAAGCCCCACAUCAGGUU
rnacentral:tRNA from 1 species